rnacentral:lncRNA from 1 species
UCUAUUUUUUAUAUUCUUUGAUAAACAGCAUAGGGAACUAUACUUAAUGUGUCUCAGGACAUUUUAAAUCUAGUAUAGUGGUUCAAAGGUUUGACAGGCCGGGUGUGGUGGCUCACAUCUGUAAUCCCAGCACUUUGGGAGGCUGAGAUGGGUGGAUCACGAGGUCAGGAGAUCCAGACCAUCCUGGCUAGCACAGUGAAAACCCAUCCCUACUAAAAAUACAAAAAUUAGUUGGGCAUGAUAGCAUGCCUGUAAUCCCAGCUACUCCAGGGGCUGAGGCAGGAGAA